AGCGAACGCUGGCGGCAGGCUUAACACAUGCAAGUCGAGCGGGCGUAGCAAUACGUCAGCGGCAGACGGGUGAGUAACGCGUGGGAACGUACCUUUUAGUUCGGAACAACACAGGGAAACUUGUGCUAAUACCGGAUAAGCCCUUACGGGGAAAGAUUUAUCGCCGAAAGAUCGGCCCACGUCUGAUUAGCUAGUUGGUGAGGUAACGGCUCACCAAGGCGACGAUCAGUAGCUGGUCUGAGAGGAUGAUCAGCCACAUUGGGACUGAGACACGGCCCAAACUCCUACGGGAGGCAGCAGUGGGGAAUAUUGGACAAUGGGCGCAAGCCUGAUCCAGCCAUGCCGCGUGAGUGAUGAAGGCCCUAGGGUUGUAAAGCUCUUUUGUGCGGGAAGAUAAUGACGGUACCGCAAGAAUAAGCCCCGGCUAACUUCGUGCCAGCCGCCGCGGUAAUAC
rnacentral:rRNA from 1 species